GCCACAUUCUAAAAGAGACCACGUGAAUUGAUCUGGUGGUUUUUAGCUUUGUGGGAGGGCGAGGGUGGGGCUGAAAUGGGGCGAGUUCACAUCACGUCACGCUCUUCGAGCACAACAAUUUGAAGGAACACAUGUGAGGCCACCUCGAUUUGCUGGAUUCCCAACUGUUUUCACACUUGCAAGUGAAAGAUCAGGAAGCCGAGGAAGGAAGCCGAGUGGAGGGAAGCACGACUGUGCUCAUGGACGAUGACUUAACUGUGUAAUGUGAUAGUUUCAGAUGCUCUAUGCCUGAUUGAUUUGUCCUUUUCUUGUCUUCAAGAAUUCAUGUAUAAAUGUUUUUGAAGAUUGCUAAUGUCAUGCUGAUGAAUCUCUUCAAAUGCUCUUCCUUGGGGGAAUAAAUAGCUAUCAGCUCCUCU